UUCUAUGACCUGACGGAUUCCUUGGCCAAGUGAAAUAUAUAUUUUGCUCUCUUUUAAUAAAUAGUUAAGCUUAGAAGUUGUUUAAAAAGCUAUUGAGAUGUGCA